UGAGUUGUAGUGUUAAUACGUUUAGCCAGCAAUUUGAAAUGCAGAACUCCAUUUGGAAAAAGGAGUUUAUAUGGGUGAAAGUCCCGUGUCUGCAUGAAAUUGUGUAUGGUUUUUCGUAUGAGAGUCUCGCUCUUUGAAAUUAGAGUGAUAACUGGUGGUAGUUUCCAUCAAAAAC
rnacentral:rRNA from 13 species